UCUCGCUUUAGAAGCGUCCAGUCAAAUGUCUUGUCAUGUCUUGUUCUGAGCUGUACGGACAGCCAUGCUGCGCAAUGAUCCAUUAUAGCAGAGUAGGACUUGUAAGGAUGUGAGGUUAGGGAGAGGAUUCUGACUGUAGGAUUCUCGGGCAUCCAUCUUUGCAGUUUUUGGAAUAAAUCAUUCUGUUUGCAUCUUCUUCCUCCAGGGUUCUCUGAGCCUCAUCAGCUCGCCAUCAGUUUCAACUCUUCUUCUUUUGCAUUCUCUCAGUCCUUGCAGCCAUUUUCCUUGAUAAGAGAUUUCCGUUCCUGUUGUGUCCCCAGUGUUUGUCACGUCUUGUCUGUCCUGUGUCACGGGUGUCUGCACACAUUUGUGCUGGAGCUGCUGUUCUGCCCUGCUGCAUAUCCUGGUGCAAUAUGAGAAGUCUCAGGGACUUGGAAUUUGUAAUGUGUAGUUGGAUUCUAGAUGGGAUUUGUAGAUGGACACAGGAUACGUGGAGCCCAUAAGUUAUCCUGCAGCCCUUUCACUUUCAUCCUAACUUUCUUUUAGUUGCAGAAGGAUAAAUCCAGGGCAGAGCCCCCCAUUCUGGGUGAGGGGAUUCCCCCGUGAAGGUCAGUCACUGUUUGUCUCUACAGAGGAAGCAUAAAUUGUGGCUGCUGCAGCUCUGCUCUUUGUCUUUAUUUUUAGGAAGUCAAGGCAGAGAGCAGCUGUCAAGGCUGAGUGGGCAAGAUGGACUGCUUGCCAUCUAUCCUAGCCCAGCAUGCCCAUGCCAGGUGCUGUCGCUGCCCUAGGCAUGCCGGGGAAGAGAGGAGGGCAGGUAUCUUCCGGGCGGCCUCUGGAGUCAAAUCAAGACUUGAGGUACCCUGGGCAGGCUUGUAGCCACAGCUUGGAAGCGGCAGCACCGAAGCGCACACAUUGAGAACGUCUCAACGUCCACGUCCGACCGAGGAUGGAUUUUGUCUGCUUGUCUUCCAAAAGCUAAGUGUCGGGGCCAGUGGUUGGGAGAAGGGGAAAAGCCUUUACUAUCACAGGAGGCAAUCUGAUGUCAGCUUAGCGGAGAGGUCUGUAGUGGGACAGGCUCCCUGGAAGUAAAGGGAGAGGGUUUCUCCUCAGCCUCACCAGAGCCUUUGCCAGGCAGGGCAGUUCCUACCCAUCUCCACAUUCUCGUGAACUUUGCGUCAUCUGCCUUCCUCGACUUGAAGUUGUCACGGCUCUUUCCCCCGUGGAGCUUGCCUUCAGGUCCGGAGCUGUAGCCGCAGUCACCUGGCAGUCCGCUUCCUUCUCUAGGCUUGCUGAGCCUCUCGAGCAUCCUCCUAACUGCUUUGGCCCUAACUUCCUUUAAUGAGUUGCAUUUAAUCAUCACGUGCUGUUGUCAUAGGGCUUCCUUUCCCUUGGCCUCAUUGGCCUCUGGCUCGUCUUGUGCUAGGACUCUCGGGUCCCUAAAGGGAAAGUGCCAAGCAGUUGCAACUUGUCUCUGUGUUAUGUCAUCUGUGUCUAUGUUAUGGUGUGUGUGUCCAUUGUCUUCCACGGCAUAGGCCUUUGUUACAUCUCAAUGCUUUAUCGGCUCUCUUCUGUGCCAUGUUCUACUCACAUUCCUUGCCGGA